UGGGGAAUAUUGGACAAUGGGCGCAAGCCUGAUCCAGCCAUGCCGCGUGAGUGAUGAAGGCCCUAGGGUUGUAAAGCUCUUUCACCGGUGAAGAUAAUGACGGUAACCGGAGAAGAAGCUCCGGCUAACUUCGUGCCAGCAGCCGCGGUAAUACGAAGGGGGCUAGCGUUGUUCGGAUUUACUGGGCGUAAAGCGCACGUAGGCGGACUAUUAAGUCAGGGGUGAAAUCCCGGGGCUCAACCCCGGAACUGCCUUUGAUACUGGUAGUCUUGAGUUCGAGAGAGGUGAGUGGAAUUCCGAGUGUAGAGGUGAAAUUCGUAGAUAAUCGGAGGAAGACCAGUGGCGAAGGCGGCUCACUGGCUCGAUACUGACGCUGAGGUGCGAAAGCGUGGGGAGCAAACAGG
rnacentral:rRNA from 1 species